rnacentral:snRNA from 1 species
GCUGAGGAGCAGCUUACAG